rnacentral:lncRNA from 1 species
GAUCAUAAACUAUACUAUAUGGUGGAUAUGGAAUACUUGAUCAUAAACCAUACUGCAUAGUGAAAAACAACUUUUUAUAGUUCAUAUAUUGUAAACUUACUUAUUGGGUGCUCCUUAAGAAAGCUUGAAAGUCUUUCCUUAAUCAAGAUGACCUAUCGGAUGUUGCCCCUUUACCUCUACCUCCAACAACUUUUCCUCCAGU